rnacentral:rRNA from 1 species
CACUAUCGUUAACUGAAUACAUAGGUUAACGAGGCGAACCGGGGGAACUGAAACAUCUAAGUACCCCGAGGAAAAGAAAUCAACCGAGAUUCCCCCAGUAGCGGCGAGCGAACGGGGAGCAGCCCAGAGUCUGAAUCAGCUUGUGUGUUAGUGGAACGGUCUGGAAAGUCCGACGGUACAGGGUGAUAGUCCCGUACACCAAAAUGCACAGGUUGUGAACUCGAAGAGUAGGGCGGGACACGUGGUAUCCUGUCUGAAUAUGGGGGGACCAUCCUCCAAGGCUAAAUACUCCUGACUGACCGAUAGUGAACCAGUACCGUGAGGGAAAGGCGAAAAGAACCCCGGCGAGGGGAGUGAAAAAGAACCUGAAACCGUGUACGUACAAGCAGUGGGAGCACCUUCGGGUGUGACUGCGUACCUUUUGUAUAAUGGGUCAGCGACUUAUAUUCUGUAGCAAGGUUAACCGUAUAGGGGAGCCGCAGGGAAACCGAGUCUUAACUGGGCGUUAAGUUGCAGGGUAUAGACCCGAAACCCGGUGAUCUAGCCAUGGGCAGGUUGAAGGUUGGGUAACACUAACUGGAGGACCGAACCGACUAAUGUUGAAAAAUUAGCGGAUGACUUGUGGCUGGGGGUGAAAGGCCAAUCAAACCGGGAGAUAGCUGGUUCUCCCCGAAAGCUAUUUAGGUAGCGCCUCGUGAAUUCAUCUUCGGGGGUAGAGCACUGUUUCGGCUAGGGGGUCAUCCCGACUUACCAACCCGAUGCAAACUACGAAUACCGAAGAAUGUUAUCACGGGAGACACACGGCGGGUGCUAACGUCCGUCGUGAAGAGGGAAACAACCCAGACCGCCAGCUAAGGUCCCAAAGUCAUGGUUAAGUGGGAAACGAUGUGGGAAGGCACAGACAGCCAGGAUGUUGGCUUAGAAGCAGCCAUCAUUUAAAGAAAGCGUAAUAGCUCACUGGUCGAGUCGGCCUGCGCGGAAGAUGUAACGGGGCUAAACCAUGCACCGAAGCUGCGGCAGCGACACUAUGUGUUGUUGGGUAGGGGAGCGUUCUGUAAGCCUGCGAAGGUGACCUGUGAGGGUUGCUGGAGGUAUCAGAAGUGCGAAUGCUGACAUAAGUAACGAUAAAGCGGGUGAAAAGCCCGCUCGCCGGAAGACCAAGGGUUCCUGUCCAACGUUAAUCGGGGCAGGGUGAGUCGACCCCUAAGGCGAGGCCGAAAGGCGUAGUCGAUGGGAAACAGGUUAAUAUUCCUGUACUUGGUGUUACUGCGAAGGGGGGACGGAGAAGGCUAUGUUAGCCGGGCGACGGUUGUCCCGGUUUAAGCAUGUAGGCUGGUUGUCCAGGCAAAUCCGGAUAAUCAAGGCUGAGGUGUGAUGACGAGGCACUACGGUGCUGAAGUAACAAAUGCCCUGCUUCCAGGAAAAGCCUCUAAGCAUCAGGUAACAUCAAAUCGUACCCCAAACCGACACAGGUGGUCAGGUAGAGAAUACCAAGGCGCUUGAGAGAACUCGGGUGAAGGAACUAGGCAAAAUGGUGCCGUAACUUCGGGAGAAGGCACGCUGGUGUGUAGGUGAAGCCCCUGCGGGUGGAGCUGAGACCAGUCGAAGAUACCAGCUGGCUGCAACUGUUUAUUAAAAACACAGCACUGUGCAAACACGAAAGUGGACGUAUACGGUGUGACGCCUGCCCGGUGCCGGAAGGUUAAUUGAUGGGGUUAUCCGUAAGGAGAAGCUCUUGAUCGAAGCCCCGGUAAACGGCGGCCGUAACUAUAACGGUCCUAAGGUAGCGAAAUUCCUUGUCGGGUAAGUUCCGACCUGCACGAAUGGCGUAAUGAUGGCCAGGCUGUCUCCACCCGAGACUCAGUGAAAUUGAACUCGCUGUGAAGAUGCAGUGUACCCGCGGCAAGACGGAAAGACCCCGUGAACCUUUACUAUAGCUUGACACUGAACAUUGAGCCUUGAUGUGUAGGAUAGGUGGGAGGCUUUGAAGCGUGGACGCCAGUCUGCGUGGAGCCAACCUUGAAAUACCACCCUUUAAUGUUUGAUGUUCUAACGUUGGCCCCUGACCGGGGUUGCGGACAGUGUCUGGUGGGUAGUUUGACUGGGGCGGUCUCCUCCCAAAGCGUAACGGAGGAGCACGAAGGUUAGCUAAUCCUGGUCGGACAUCAGGAGGUUAGUGCAAUGGCAUAAGCUAGCUUGACUGCGAGCGUGACGGCGCGAGCAGGUGCGAAAGCAGGUCAUAGUGAUCCGGUGGUUCUGAAUGGAAGGGCCAUCGCUCAACGGAUAAAAGGUACUCCGGGGAUAACAGGCUGAUACCGCCCAAGAGUUCAUAUCGACGGCGGUGUUUGGCACCUCGAUGUCGGCUCAUCACAUCCUGGGGCUGAAGUAGGUCCCAAGGGUAUGGCUGUUCGCCAUUUAAAGUGGUACGCGAGCUGGGUUUAGAACGUCGUGAGACAGUUCGGUCCCUAUCUGCCGUGGGCGCUGGAGAAUUGAGGGGGGCUGCUCCUAGUACGAGAGGACCGGAGUGGACGCAUCACUGGUGUUCGGGUUGUCAUGCCAAUGGCACUGCCCGGUAGCUAAAUGCGGAAGAGAUAAGUGCUGAAAGCAUCUAAGCACGAAACUUGCCCCGAGAUGAGUUCUCCCUGAGACUUUAAGUCUCCUGAAGGAACGUUGAAGACGACGACGUUGAUAGGCCGGGUGUGUAAGCGCAGCGAUGCGUUGAGCUAACCGGUACUAAUGAACCGUGAGGCUUAACCUUACAACGCCGAAG